rnacentral:rRNA from 1 species
UGAGGAAUAUUGGUCAAUGGGUGCAAGCCUGAACCAGCCAUCCCGCGUGAAGGACGACUGCCCUAUGGGUUGUAAACUGCUUUUGUCCAGGAAUAAACCCAGAUACGAGUAUCUGGCUGAAUGUACUGGAAGAAUAAGGAUCGGCUAACUCCGUGCCAGCAGCCGCGGUGAUACGGAGGAUCCGAGCGUUAUCCGGAUUUAUUGGGUUUAACGGGUGCGUAGGCGGCCUGUUAAGUCAGGGGUGAAAUACGGUGGCUCAACCAUCGCAGUGCCUUUGAUACUGACGGGCUUGAAUCCAUUUGAAGUGGGCGGAAUAAGACAAGUAGCGGUGAAAUGCAUAGAUAUGUCUUAGAACUCCGAUUGCGAAGGCAGCUCACUAAGCUGGUAUUGACGCUGAUGCACGAAAGCGUGGGGAUCGAACA